rnacentral:tRNA from 1 species
UCCCUGGUGGCUCAGAUGGUAAAGAAUCUGCCUGCAAUGCAGGAGACUCAGGUUCAAUCCCUGAGUAGGGAA